AAGCAGGGCCAGAAGCCUAUAGCUUGAGAAGUGUGCUUGGCUGGUGGUGUGAAGAUGGGGUGCUGGUUGGAGGAAAGAGCAAAUGAUGCAGUUUCUAUCUUAAUUCUUGCUGUCUGAGCUUCUUGAGGAGAAACCAAACACUCCCGGCUGUAUUGGGAGAGAAAGGAAGGCGGUGGAGGAUCAGAGCACCAGUGUUGGAAGCAUCAAGGCCUCUUGGCUGAGGAUGGAGCCCAUGGCUUUGGUGGCAGCAGCAUUCUCAGUUCUUUACUGGAAGGGGACAAAUGCAGGUAAGCAACAGGAUUUAAUGCAGAGCGUCAGUGCCCCAAAGUUGGGUUGUGAGAUCUCAGGAGGUCCUAGCCUUGAGCCUUGGGGCUUGGAUCCCUUCUCAGGCCUCUGGUUGAGCAGAAAGAGUCCCUGG
rnacentral:lncRNA from 11 species